AACGCACCUUGCGCUCCUUGGUAUUCCGAGGAGCAUGCCUGUUUGAGUGUCAUGAAAUUCUCAACUGCCUUUGUGGGGCUUUGUUCCCAGAAGGGUGAAGUUGGAUUUGGAGGAUUAUCUUGCUGGCGCUCUUCAAUGAGCUUUGUCGGCUCCUCUCGAAUGCAUGAGCCUUCCUGUGCAUUAUUUGUGAAGCGAACUCUGAUGUGAUAAUUAUCUACGUUGGAUGUCGCGUUUGCAUUGGGCAUGAAUGGAUUGCAAAAUGCAGAUGAUUGCAUCUUUUGGGAUGCGUCUUGACCAAUUCGACCUCAAAUCAGGUAGGACUACCCGCUGAACUUAA
rnacentral:misc_RNA from 1 species